GUCACUUUCCCCCUCUGGUCGAGGGUUUCCUCUGCCCUGUUACGUUCCCCACUCCAAUCCAAUGGCGACGACCAGCAACAAGAAAAUGGCGUCGCCGUCGCCUAUGACGGACAUGCCCGACCAGCUCCUCGCCGAGAUCUUCCUCCGGCUGCCCACCCCACAAGACCUCGCCCGCGCCUCCGCCGUCUGCCUCACCUUCCGCCGAAUCUCCACCGACAGGUCCUUCCUCCGCUGCUUCCGCUGCCUCCACGCACCACCACUUCUCGGAUUCCUCGACCGCGACGGCUUCCACCCAGCCCUAACCUCCACCCCCGCCGUUCGCGCGGCCGCCGUCGCCGCCGAUUUCACCUUAUCCUUCCUCCCCUACCACCGCCGCUGGACCGUGCAGGACGUCCGCGACGGCCGCGUCCUCCUCUGCCGCAGCAUCGGAAAACAUGGGCAGCCCCCGGUCUUCAGAGAUCUCGCGGUGUGCGACCCCUUGCACCGGCGCUACGUCCUGCUCCCCCCGCUACCUCACGACCUGGCUGCUUUGCUUGGGCACCCUUUCCCCCCGGUAACCGAGGCCUGCUGCAAGCGCUUCCUCGUUCCCCUCGGUGAGGAGGAGGCAGCGGCUGGAGACACAACAUUCAUAGUCAUCUUGAUGGCAUAUUGCAAAACCAGUCUGGCUGCCUUUGUCUUCUCUUCCAGCAACGAUCAAUGGCAAGCUACUGCAUCCAAGGAUUUGAGUGAUUUGGCCCUUGACGAGGGCGACAUGGAGGAGAUGUCAAGGGUCCAGCCUUUUAUUCCCAUGCGCCAUUAUGCUUAUGGCUGUUUCUACUGGGACUGGGUGCAAUUCGGGAUGAAGAAGUUGCUCUUGCUUGACACCACGAACAUGGAGUUCUCCACUCCUGACCUCCCACCAGGAGAAUGGAGCAAGGAAGGUAUAGCCAUUGUGGAGGCAGGGGAAGGCAGGCUCGGGAUCUUUGGUUUCCAUGGUGGACUUGCAUCCAAUCUCAGCUAUACAGCUGUACGGACCAAAGACGAGAGUCCCAGCCAGUGGCAGAUGGAGAAGACAAUCUCACUAGAUUCUGGCUACAAAUAUUGUAUCAGAGACGCAACACAGAGGUACUUGCUCUUGACAAGGAUAGAAGCAUCAUCUCCAAAUAAUCACCUUGUUGGAUAUUUCUCAAUGGAUAUCAAGACGUUGCAGCUUCAGAGGGUUUAUGAGAAACAGCACUAUAAGUAUCCGACAUACGCAUAUAUCAACUUCCCACCAUCAUUGUUGUCUUCAAGGAGAAUAUGAAGUGUCAUUGUCUCCACCACUGUUAGAUCCUCAGUAUCAUGGUUGUGCUCUGAAUCUCCAAGCAAAUCAUAUUGGUUGAGAUGAUUGACUGAAACUUAGAGUUGUCAGGUUUGACAGAGCCAUACCCAUACGUAAUCAUAUCAGCAUUCUUAAUUCAAAGCGACCAUGGUUUCAACAGCUUGGAGUUCUCACAUACGUGAUCACUUUGCCUACAAAACAACACGAUCUACAUUGCCUUGCUUGGUGGUGGCCAUGUCAAUGUUUUGGUUAUUAGGUCUAACAUCAAUGUGGAAUUUCCCUGCCUAAGAAUGUGACUUUGAUAUUAGGAGUUCAAGUCAAUUUUUCUUCUUCAUUAUUUGUUAGAGUUGCUAAAACAGGUACAAUCUGACUAGUGGCAGAACGAUCACAACGGAACUGAUAACCAACAUAAGGACAAUAUAAGCAGCACCAGCAUGCAGUUGGAGGGACUCGGUUCUUUGUUGCUGCUGCUGCUGUACGGUGAAGGGUAGGCAGCAAAAUAGGUUUGUAGAGCUGUAGAAAGAGGUGAGUGGAAGUCCUAAAUGGUGCUCAUGUUUGGAUCGCCGAAGUACCGAUAAUUUGUGAAAUCUUGAAUAUGCUGUAUGAUCUUGAAUACUGAGUGGACAAUUUUCUCUGCUGUAUGAUCUUUUGUCCCUUUUUCUUCAGAUUUGAUGGAGCUGUAAUCA